GGUCAUGAGUGUCAGCGACAAGCCCCGGCUCGCUGGCCGGCAACCCUCCUCCGCGGUGGGGUGCCCCGGGUGAAGACCUGGCGGACGGCACCGGUUGCCGGCCGCAAGCGCGGGAG
rnacentral:ncRNA from 2 species